CCUACGGUGGGCAGCAGUGAGGAAUAUUGGUCAAUGGGCGCGAGCCUGAACCAGCCAAGUAGCGUGAAGGAUGACUGCCCUACGGGUUGUAAACUUCUUUUAUAAAGGAAUACGGUGAGGCACGUGUGCCUUUUUGUAUGUACUUUAUGAAUAAGGAUAGGCGAACUUCGUGACAGCAGCCGCAGGAAUUCGGAGGAUCCGAGAGUUAUCCGGAUUUAUUGGGUUUAAAGGGAGCGGAGAUGGGUUGUUAAGUCAGUUGUGAAAGGUUGCGGUUGAAACUUAAAAUUGCAAUUGAAACUGGCAGUCUUGAGUACAGGUGAGGUAGGCGGAAUUCGUGGUGUAGCGGUGAAAUGCUUAGAUAUCACGAAGAACUCCGAUUGCGAAGGCAGCUUACGAAACUGCCACUGACAUUGAUGCUCGAAAGUGUGGGUAUCAAACAGGAUUAGAUACCCGUGUAGUC
rnacentral:rRNA from 1 species